AAGACUAUAGCUUAAUUGGUUAAAGCGAACCACUCAUGAUGGUUUGAGUAAAUGUUCAAGUCAUUUUAGUCUUA
rfam:Penicillium nordicum strain DAOMC 185683 scaffold_376, whole genome shotgun sequence.